rnacentral:rRNA from 1 species
UACGAAGGGGGCUAGCGUUGCUCGGAAUCACUGGGCGUAAAGCGCACGUAGGCGGAUCGUUAAGUCGGGGGUGAAAUCCUGGAGCCCAACUCCAGAACUGCCUUCGAUACUGGGAAUCUUGAGUCCGGAAGAGGUGAGUGGAACUGCGAGUGUAGAGGUGAAAUUCGUAGAUAUUCGCAAGAACACCAGUGGCGAAGGCGGCUCACUGGUCCGGUACUGACGCUGAGGAGCGAAAGCGUGGGGAGCGAACAGG